GAAAGUGUGUGUGUGUAGAAGAGAGAAGUCGAGCAAAGAGAGCUGCUUUUUCAUGAAACGGGAGUAAAGUAGUGAACUUACAGCAACAUAUACCACUACCAACGUUUGGAUCGAUAUCUGCAUCGAUCUGCACACCCUUGUCUCCUGGAUUGUAGCUCAGAUCAGCGUGAACCACGUGGGUCUCUGCUCCCUGAUCUGUUUCCUGUUUGGAAAGACUUCCAGCUUCAUCGCGGAGUUUCUCUCGGUUUGUGGGCUCAUCUAAAGCUGAUUAACGGGAGGAGGAGAGUCUGGUGGUGCAGCAGAGCAACAAUUUCAGCCAUUUGGACUCAGCUCAGCCACUACAGAGGAAACAAUGACUUCAACACAAAAGGACCAACAUGGAGCGAGAAGUCAGCGCUCUCAGGAGGCCGACAAACCUCACAGAAGAAAGCGAGAGAAAACAUACAGCUGUGAUGAGUGUGGGAAGGAUUUUACCCUGGCUCAAAGCCUAAAAAAACACCAAGUCGUCCACAGUGGAGUUAAAGCGUACAGUUGUGAGUUGUGUGGAAAGUCUUUUAAAAGGGCUGGAAACUUAAAAACACACCAAAUCAUCCACAGUGGAGUUAAAGCGUACAGUUGUGACUUGUGUGGAAAGUCUUUUGCCCGGGCUCAAACCCUAAAAUCACACCAAGUCAUCCACAGUGGAGUUAAAGAGUACAGCUGUGACUUGUGUGGAAAGUCUUUUAACCGGGCUGAACACUUAAAAUCACACCAAGUCAUCCACAGUGGAGUUAAAGCAUACAGUUGUGACUUGUGUGGAAAGUCUUUUACCCUGGCUAAAAGCCUAAAAACACACCAAGUCAUCCACAGUGGAGUUAAACCUUAUAGUUGUGGGUUGUGUGGAAAGUCUUUUACCCAGGCUGGAGACUUAAAAACACACCAAAUCAUCCACAGUGGAGUUAAAGCGUACAGUUGUGACUUGUGUGGAAAGUCUUUUGCCCGGGCUCAAAGCCUAAAAUCACACCAAGUCAUCCACAGUGGAGUUAAAGAGUACAUUUGUGACUUGUGUGGAAAGUCUUUUACCCUGGCUCAAACCCUAAAAUCACACCAAGUCAUCCACAGUGGAGUUAAAGCUUACAGCUGUGGGUUGUGUGGAAAGUCUUUUACCCAGGCUGGAAACUUAAAAACACACCAACUCAUCCACAGUGGAGUUAAAGCUUACAGUUG